rnacentral:rRNA from 1 species
GAGGUCCGGCCUGCCCAGUGACCACGAGUUCAACGGCCGCGGUAUUUUGACCGUGCAAAGGUAGCGCAAUCACUUGUCUUUUAAAUAAAGACCUGUAUGAAUGGCUAAACGAGGGCUUAACUGUCUCCCAUUUCAAGUCAGUGAAAUUGAUCUAUCCGUGCAGAAGCGGGUAUAGUUAUACAAGACGAGAAGACCCUUUGGAGCUUAAGGCAUAAAACUCAACCACGUCAAGCAACUCAAUAAAAAGAAACUCAAACAUUGUGGUAAUUGAGACCACUGCCUUCGGUUGGGGCGACCAUGGAGGAAAAGAAAGCCUCCAAGAGGAGUAGGGAAUAAUACCCUAAAGCCAAGAGAGACAUCUCAAAGAUGCAGAAAAUCUGACCAUAAAUGAUCCGGCCGACCAAGACCGACCAACGAACCAAGUUACCCAAGGGAUAACAGCGCAAUCCUCUUCAAGAGGCCAUAUCGACAAGAGGGUUUACGACCUCGAUGUUGGAUCAGGACAUCCUAAUGGCGCAGCCGUUAUUAAGGG